rnacentral:misc_RNA from 1 species
CUACAGUACUGUUUUACAUGAGCCAUACUUAGAUCAGCUUCCUUGAAUAUAUUUCCUAAAUCAGUAAGCUAGAGGUGUUGUGACACACUCCAGUUAUAAUUGGCAACUUAUCCUCUCAUCAAAGUAUAUGACAAAUAAAAACUAAUAAAUAGAGACUAAUUAAUAUAUCAUGGUGUCAAAUUCAUCAUAGAGGAGGCGUCGAAUGGAGAAACUAUUCCUUCACUCAAGAGGCGCAUUGCAGCCCCUCCUGAGAAUUUCCUUGCAAUCAGAAAACAGGGGGCUAGCGUAGAAUUAUUCCGACACCACUCUGUCCUGUACUCGCUUUCAUAGUAAACAUUGCGGAUAUCCUUUAUUCUCUUGAUCUGUACAGGCCCAGCAUCUGCAUAGCUAAAUGUUAUGGGAUGCCAACCCUUUUUCUCCAUAUUUGUCACAGAUUCAUUCCACUCUGUAUAGGUUAUCGUUCUACGUUCAAGUUCUCCUUCAAGCCCAUGUAUCGCCAACAAUGUCUGCACAUAGUGUUCAUCUGGAAUGCAGUUGUGCUGCUUCUGAAGUUUAAUAUUCUUUUUUCCCUUACUGGCUUCCAGCGCUGGACGUCUCUUGCAGAACAUCUUGAAGACUGGAAACACAGCAUCAUCAUCUGCCACCACUUCUGCAUGCUUCCUGAUUAAAGUGAUCCACUGUGACCCUUUUCGCCAUUUGCUCAUUGGUAUAUAGGGUGACAUCCUUGGGUUGUAGCGGACAUCCUUUUUAUCAAGAAAACUGUCCACAAAGCUCCUUGGAGAAGCCAUCAAGUAGUUGUAUAUGAAGCUAAAGUUGUACAGUGGGACACAGCUGUCCGACAAGAGAACAAAUCUUUGAUUUGCUGGAUCAUCAAGUGCCGCGCCAAGUAAUAAUUUUUCUGCGUGGAUCAUACUUGAUUCUCCCCAAGCUACCUUGAUGCUAUUUGUCAAUUGGCGAUUAUAAAAGAAAGUUGAUCUUGUUGUAGACUCAUCAAAAACAAAACCAGGCUCCGAAUGUACAUAUAUGGAAAAAUUGCCAGGGUCAGCAUUCUCAAAGAAAUUUCCCCAAAGGAAAUCGAGAGGCAAAUUCCUCCGCACUAGAAAGAGGAACGCAACUUUGGGAUUGCCAGUAUAAUAAAGAGCUCGAGAUCUACUGGAAAUUGAAGAAGUAGAAGAGGAAAGUUCCGAAUCGGAAAGAGAGUAGUUUUGAAGCUUUAGAAAAGCCAACACACAAAUAGUAAGAGAAACCAGAACCAACAACUUCCACCACAACCACAACACGUUUCUGACAGACAUUCCGGCGGUCGCCGCCAUAGCCAUCGCCGCCGCCGACUUCUUCUUCAUAGGUUUGAAUUCUCUUUGCUCCUUCUCCUGAAAAUUUAAAAGAAAAAAGAGAUUUGCACUCUAUCUUUCUCUCUGUGUAUAAAUAAAUGCACAUAUAUAUGUGUGUCUUUACAUUGAACAGGUGGCGGUUGAAGGGAGCGAAUGAGAGAGAGAAGCAUUUCAGAG